rnacentral:lncRNA from 1 species
AUAUAAAAUCCACAGUGCUGACUGGCAAAUGCCAUCCCUGUGAGUUACACCCACGUAGAAAGAGAAGAAUGCUGGCCUGGAGCCACCUGCAAAGGUCUUGGAGGAGGUGGUCCACGAACAGGUUGUCAAUGAUGAGUCCUUCAUCCCUCCCGAGACCACCACUCACUCUUUUCAUCUGCCGAGACCAGGGUUUGGACCACAGGACACCUGCACACUUCCUGCUCAUGAAGAACCUACCUGCGGCUUAAGCGGUUUAUACUCCAAAAGGAACCAGAGCAGUGGUGGCAAAUGCCAACACUGUCUGCAAAGCUGGUACUUGCCCAGUCCAUUGCCAUGGAAGCUGGAUGUGGAUUCUCCAGGUGGAGGCAGAACUCUAACCCAUGUUAAGCACCUGCAGCCGUGACAGACACUAUACCAGGGAGUUUCAUCACAAUUACACUUGUGUGAUGGGCGUUACAAUCUACCUGCGCAGGUGAUGAAAACUGAGGCCCCAACACAUGAAGAAACUUGUCCAGGGUCAUGUGAUGUGAAAGGGUGGAUUAGAGAUUUGGAUUCGCUCAGCUAUCAAGCCCAAGUUCUUCCCGC